rnacentral:rRNA from 1 species
CCUACGGGUGGCAGCAGUGAGGAAUAUUGGGCAAUGGGCGGAAGCCUGAACCAGCCAAGUCGCGUGAGGGAUUAAGGCCCUAUGGGUCUUAAACCUCUUUUGUCAGGGAGCAAUGGCGUCCACAUGUGUUCGUAUGGCGAGUACCUGAAGAAAAAGCAUCGGCUAACUGAGUGCCAGCAGCCGGGGUAAUACGGGGGAUGCGAGCGUUAUCCGGAUUUAGUGGGGUUAAAGGGUGCAUAGGCGGGACCUUAAGUCAGAGGUAAUACUGCGGUGCUCAACGCCGUAUAGCCGUUGAAACUGGGGUUCUUGAGUGAGCGAGAAGUAUGCGGAAUGCGUGGUGUAGCGGUGAAAUGCAUAGAUAUCACGCAGAAACCAGAUUGCGAAGGGAGCAUACCGGCGCUCAACUGACGUUGAGGCACGAAGUGUGGGUAUCGAACAGGAUUAGAUACCCCAGUAGUC